rnacentral:rRNA from 1 species
CCCCACUGCUAUCGGGAUGGGACUAAGACAUGCUAGUCGUGCGUCUCCAAGCCAUGGCGGAGACGCGGCGCACAGCUCAGUAACACGUGGCUAACCUGCCCUUAGGACAGGGACAACCCCGGGAAACUGGGGCUAAUCCCUGAUAGGUGAGGGUUCCUGGAAUGGGCCCUCGCCGAAAGGGCGCCUAGACCAUGCUUCUAGGCGCUGCCCAAGGAUGGAGCCGCGGCCGAUCAGGUUGUUGGUGAGGCAACGGCUCACCAAGCCUUUAACCGGUACGGGCCGUGAGAGCGGAAGCCCGGAGAUGGGCACUGAGACAAGGGCCCAGGCCCUACGGGGCGCAGCAGUCGCGAAAACUCCGCAAUACACGAAAGUGUGACGGGGUCAUCCCGAGUGCCAUCCGCUGAGGAUGGCUUUUCCCCAGUGUAUAAAGCUGGGGGAAUAAGGGGAGGGCAAGCCUGGUGUCAGCCGCCGCGGUAAUACCAGCUCUCCGAGUGGUGGGGAUGCUUAUUGGGCCUAAAGCAUUCGUAGCCUGCUUGGCAAGUCCUCCGUUAAAUCCAACGAUUCAAUCGUUGGGCUGCGGGGGAUACUGUCCGGCUAGGGGGCGGGAGAGGCCGACGGUAUCCUCGGGGUAGGGGUGAAAUCCUAUAAUCCCGGGAGGACCACCAGUGGCGAAGGCUGUCGGCUAGAACGCGCUCGACGGUGAGGGAUGAAAGCUGGGGGAGCGAACCGGAUUAGAUACCCGGGUAGUCCCAGCUGUAAACGAUGCAGGCUAGGUGUUGGCGCGGCUACGUGCCGCUCCAGUGCCGCAGGGAAGCCGUUAAGCCUGCCGCCUGGGAAGUACGGCCGCAAGGCUGAAACUUAAAGGAAUUGGCGGGGGAGCACCACAAGGUGUGAAGCUUGCGGUUU